rnacentral:rRNA from 1 species
GAGAGUUAAAUAGUACGUGAAAUUGUUGAAAGGGAAACGAUUGAAGUCAGUCAUGCUAGUGAAAAAUCAGUUUGACGGGUUUUGAGUUCGGGAGUAGAGGCAGGGUCAAACCGUUUCUCUUUUGAACUUGGGAUUUGUUAGACGUACUUUUUCUUUGGCAGGUCAGCGUCGAUUUCGGAGGUUGUAAAAUACUUGGGGGAAAGUAACUCUGCUUCGGGAGAGUAUUAUAGACCCUGAGGGAUGCAGCCUGCGGGAUCGAGGAUUGCAGCAAAUGCCUUUGGCUUGUCGCCUAUCUCUGGUCGUUACCUCUCUUGUGACAACAUUCUUGCCACCGGAGGGUACUAAUGCCCAUUACUUAGAGCGAUCGAAAAUUUUGCUAAGGAUGCUGACGUAAUGGCUUUAAACGA